rfam:Triticum aestivum genome assembly, contig: Triticum_aestivum_CS42_TGACv1_scaffold_558762_7AL
UAAAUACUCCCUCCGUCCCAAAAUUCUUGUCUUAGAUUUGUCUAGAUACGGAUGAAUCUAAUAUGACUUGAUACAUCCGUAUUUAGACAAAUCUAAGACAAGAAUUUUGGGACGGAGGGAGUAUGUU